rnacentral:lncRNA from 1 species
UCACACUGCGCCAGUUUCUGUAACCUUAUGGUUCCUCUCAUUCGAUGAAGACUUCGCCUUGCCUAAAGCAGGAGAGGAAUAAUACAGUCAAAUCUAGAGUUUGAGAAAAGAAAACAAAAAAAAUCAUAAGAUUGACAAAUGACUUUAGUCAGGGUAUCCAUCCAUCUAUCAUCUACUAAGGGCAGAUAAUUAGGCAGACAAUUGUAUUUCAUUUUACUACCUACAAUUAUUGUGCACACAAGAUGGUGAUUAUUAUCAGAAUGAUCCUUCGGAUUCAGUAGCCCAAGCACGGUUACUGGGUAAGACAAAAUAAA